AAUUCUCAAUCACUACAAUCUUGUGUUGUUUAGUGAAUUGGAGGUGGGGGUUUUGUGGGUCUAUCUAUUAGAUCUGCUCCCCUAAAAAUUAUUAGCUGGAAUGCCUUUGCAAGUCCAACUAUCAGUAUGAUAAUUAUCUACUCUGAUGUUGUUGUAAAAGGGUAUCUGCUUUCAAACCGUCGUUCAGACAUUUUGAAUCA
rnacentral:misc_RNA from 1 species